UUUCUGCCCUUCUGAGGCAGAGGACAGUUUGGUAAUGAGGAGGAGGUGUAAGAAAUAUGUCCCUGGAGGGAGUAAGAGCUACGUGGAAGGCCACCGUGAAAGGCAAUGAUUAGAGUGUGACAUUGAUGUUUCUUGGGCCAUGAAAGAAGAGAAGUGGCUACUCUGCUCAAUUUAAAAAUUUAUCAAAAUAAAUGCAAUCCAGAAGUAGAAAUUAUUUCUCUUCUAAAUAAGAUUUAAAAUGUAUACAUUUGUAAUAGUUCUAUUCCAAAUACAUAAAUAUUAUUUUAAAAUGACUAAACUUGCCCUGUUGCCAUAAUUUUGAUUUCAUAGAAUAAGUAUGUACUUCCUUAUGCUUCAUAUGCAGAACACUUUGAUUUAUCAGCUUUGAUAUAUUAGGAUUUCUGGCACUCUAAUUUGAUGCAUAUUUCCAUUUUAAUGUUAAAUUACUGAAUUAAUUAUUGUAUAUUUCUGUUGCUUUGGGUGCCUGGCAGUCACGAAAUAAUUCUUACACCAUAUUGAUGCAGACUUCUAGUUAAUAACCAUAAAACUAACAUGAUCCUCCCUUCCUUUUGCUUAAAUUGAGAAAGAGCUAUUGGAGAUGCUGAAGCUAAAGUGCAGUUAAUAAUAACCUGGAAACUAUGGAUCAAGACUGUGUAUCUCCAGCCUAGAACUUCUACUCUACAGUCACUUUAAUUCAUCAAUAAUCCUAUGCUUAUUCAUUUU